rnacentral:lncRNA from 1 species
GGAACUUCGAAAUUCUCGUGCCUAAACUUUGUCAGAGAUCUUUGACAAAGUUAUAUGUGGUACCCGAGGUGUUGAUGGUGCAUAUGGAGAGCGGUGAUUGAACAGUAAGAUUCACGUGCUUUCUACUUCACCAGAAAUCUUCGACAGAUUGCCCGUAAUUUCCGCAAAGCUGAGUGUGCAUGUGACAGGUGCUGACGAGGCUGAAAAAGCAGGUGCUUCUUCGAUUUCUGAGAUCAGCCCUCGUGGUCUCUGAGCAGCCCAUCUUUUGAGAAAGCAAACGCCUCUUCGAUUUCUGAGAUCGGCCCUCGUGGUCUCUGAGCAGCCCAGCUUUUGAGAAAGCAAACGCCUCUUCGAUUUCUGAAGCUCCGUCGAGUGCAGAUUUUUAUAGAGGCUGACAUUAAGUUCCACAGCACACUUGAAUCUCUACCAGUAGAAGCUCAUUUCUUGCACUUCUAAGAUCUUGAUUU